rnacentral:lncRNA from 1 species
CUUGCAUUUCAAAAGCAAGUGACUAUUAUGCUCUGAUCACAUGUGAACUUCAUACCGAAUCUUUGCCUAUGAUGAAGCUUCUGUUCAACAAAUAUUUGUUGAUUAAAAAUGUGAACACUUCUUAGAUCAACUCCAGAAUCCCUCCCGGGUGGCGUGUAAUCAAAGCCUAAAACCUGUUAAAUAAACCAUCACCUAAAGCAUAAGGCAGUUCGUGAAUGUGUCCACUCCUUUCCCCUGCAACUGCGUGUGGAGACAGUGGGCAUAAAGACCUCGUAUGCUAGCAAUUUCAACCGAGCAGGACCUUCUCUCCCUCCUCUUUCAUUUUCCUGGCGCGUAAACUGCUGGAUUUGCCUCACAGUGGAAAGUUGGGUCCAGCAAAACAGGGCUGGUCCAUUUAGGGAGACCGCGCACGGAGGG